UCAAUUCCAAAUAACUAUCCAAAACACAAAUUUCCAUUAACAUAAACUCAAUAUCACCAUCAUCCAAAUCAAUAAUAAAAGAAACAUUACAAAUUGAACAAAAUAAAAUAAAAAGAAAAUGGAAGAACACAGCUAGAACUGCGAAGAACACUACUGUUUUGAUCUAUUGCGCUGAUGUUGUGGCUCUUCAGGCAACAGUGUUGGGCUCUAAAAAAGCAUAUGCAAAGUUGAGACCAGAACAAGAAGAGAAGAGAAGGAGAGGUGGACGUCGGGCAGAGAAGAAAUGAAGGGGAAGAAAAAUUAAUGGCGUAGAGAAAAACAAGAGGAUAAGAGAAAUUAAGGGAGAUGAGUGGCACUGGUUAGAGAAGAAAUAAGAACAGAAUGGUGGGAGAGGUGACUGGCGGCAGACUUGAUAGGGAGGAAGAAAUAAGGUGGAAGAAAAAUUA
rnacentral:misc_RNA from 1 species